AUGCACCGGAUCCCAUCAGAACUCCGCAGUUAAGCGUGCUUGGGCGAGAGUAGUACUAGGAUGGGUGACCCCCUGGGAAGUCCUCGUGUUGCAACCCCCUUUUUUUUCGUUUUUUGGUUUAUUUUAUUUACCGGUCGAUGUUUCUUUGGCGUAGCAUGCGGGUGGCCGUUGAUGUGGGGAACGGGGCUACGGGGUGCCCGGAGGCGCGCUUUCGAUUAAACACGGUUUACCGUGCCGAAGGCUCGUCGGCGCGGGAGACGGAUAUGGGGAGACGGGCCCGCUCGUAGGCGUUGGACUGACGUGCCCUCAGUUUAUCGGAAAGCGUGAGAGCUUACUGACGGGAGUGGCCGCUUUUGUCAAAGGAAGGCCAUGACGAAGGCGCGCGCGCGCACGGCGGGCCCGAGACGCGUAACGUAGGCCACACAUGAGAGCAUAGGUGGGCAUGGGAUCAAGGCGUGGAAAGGUAUAAAGGAAUAAGGAGCUUGUAUUCUUUCGGUUGCGAUCAUACCAGCACUAAUGCACCGGAUCCCAUCAGAACUCCGCAGUUAAGCGUGCUUGGGCGAGAGUAGUACUAGGAUGGGUGACCCCCUGGGAAGUCCUCGUGUUGCAACCCCCUUUUUUUUCGUUUUUUGGUUUAUUUUAUUUACCGGUCGAUGUUUCUUUGGCGUAGCAUGCGGGUGGCCGUUGAUGUGGGGAACGGGGCUACGGGGUGCCCGGAGGCGCGCUUUCGAUUAAACACGGUUUACCGUGCCGAAGGCUCGUCGGCGCGGGAGACGGAUAUGGGGAGACGGGCCCGCUCGUAGGCGUUGGACUGACGUGCCCUCAGUUUAUCGGAAAGCGUGAGAGCUUACUGACGGGAGUGGCCGCUUUUGUCAAAGGAAGGCCAUGACGAAGGCGCGCGCGCGCACGGCGGGCCCGAGACGCGUAACGUAGGCCACACAUGAGAGCAUAGGUGGGCAUGGGAUCAAGGCGUGGAAAGGUAUAAAGGAAUAAGGAGCUUGUAUUCUUUCGGUUGCGAUCAUACCAGCACUAAUGCACCGGAUCCCAUCAGAACUCCGCAGUUAAGCGUGCUUGGGCGAGAGUAGUACUAGGAUGGGUGACCCCCUGGGAAGUCCUCGUGUUGCAACCC
rnacentral:lncRNA from 1 species